GGGCAAAUGUUUUGAGACUGCCCAUGGAGGUGAGGCCUGUGGUCGCCAUGGAGUCCACCAGGUGCCACUUCGGAUAAACCCUUUGGACUCCUAACUCCAAUCAGGUGUCUGCUUUGUUGAGGACUCACAGACACAGUCUCCUUUCUUCAAGAUCUUUACAAUGCAAGACCUCACUAACACACAGGGAUGGUCUCCCAGAGGGUCUGUGCUGUUCCUUCACUCAGAACAUCAAGAUGCACUGAAGUAAGGAUCCUCUAUUCUACAGUUCCUGCUAGCUGAGCUAUUCCAUGGGGGCUUCAGCAGGAAAUUCCAAGGUUGGCUUUGACAAGCUAAGGCCGGCUGGUGGAGCACAUCGAGUUCUGGAGGUUCAUGUGUGUUUUCAUGAAGAUCUGUCUGCCCGUAGCAGAUAAAGAGUUGUUGCCCCACUCCUCCUGGGGUCUUCUAUUUUCCUGGGAGGAAUUUCUGGAUUAACUGAACACACACACACACACACACACCCUUUUGAAGCAUCAACAGUAAUUCUGAGUUCUUAGGGACAAUGCAGAUUAAAUCCACAAUAAGAAAGACAACUAUGGCCAGGUGUGGUGGCUCACGCCUGUAAUCCCAGAACUUUGGGAGGCUGAGGCGGAUGGAUCACCUGAGGUCAGGAGUUAGAGACCAACCUGACCAACAUGGAGAAACCCCGUUUCUACUAAAAAUGCAAAAUUAGCCGGGCAUGGUGGCAGGCGCCUGUAAUCCCAAAUACUCGGGAGGCUGAGGCAGGAGAAUCACUUAAACCCGGGAGGCAGAGGUUGCAGUGAGCCAAGAUCGCGCCAUUGCACUCCAGCCUGGGCAAGAAGAGCAAAACUCCAUCUCAA
rnacentral:lncRNA from 10 species